rnacentral:lncRNA from 1 species
UUUGUGGAACGUGCUGAAAUAAAUUAAGCUUCUGAAAGUAGAUGACAGAGGCUUAGUUUGGUAUUGAAACUCAUAUGAAGUUAUUAGAUAAAAUGAAGUUGGAGCAAAAGCAUAUAGAAAUAUAUACUUUUGUGUUCUCCUGUGGAAUUAAAAAAAAUAUAUCGUAAUCGACUUAUCGCGAUAUACGGAACCUAAUAUUAUGUACGGAAACAAAUAGAACAUUUUUCCAUGAUACUUUCUUACUGUACAUAACGCAAUUUUUCCGUAUCCCAAAAGAAGCCAAAUCUUCUUUUAAAAUUUCUGUUCUGCUACAAAGGAUAGAUUUUUAUUUUUGUAAUGAGAAAUCCAUCACAAUCCCUUAACAUGAGUUGAAAAGCCGAGAUCUUAGUAAAAACAAAGAUUUUAAUGAAAGUUUUUUGUUCUUGUUAAUUUAUGAACUUAACUAGGUUGUUGUAUUCUUUUUCCAAAAUGAAUUUAGCUGGAAAUUUGAAGUAACUAGUUAAACUUCGAACUUGAGACCUCAGAUACCGAUCGUUAAAUUUUUUACUAUUUGCAUUAGGAAUGGUCAGUUAAAAAUGUUGAAUAUAAAAAUUAUAAAUACUGUUAUCAAAUAGCUAAGUUUUUGAAAAAUAACUUUUGUUUUGCAUUAUUUAACAUCUUACCAGAGCAGGAGGUCCGUUCUCUGAUAGUUUAAGUAUCUCAUUUAAUUUCUUUCAAUUUAAUUAAGCUCAAAUAUUAAGUAUAUUAAAAAAUUUCUAGCCUAAACGUGAAGCGGGGUGUUGAAUAUAAAUUAUAUAAACACUAUUAUCUGAUAGCUCUUCUUUUUUUUAAAAAAAAACUAAUUAUUUUAUAAUUUUUUUAACAAAAAAGAAACUCCAAUUAAUACCACUUUUAUUUUUACCAAAGAAACUACAAAAUCAUU